CAGGGGGAGAUGGGGGGUUGGAUGGGAUGGUUAUCGAAUGAAAUACAAUGCGAAUGCUUUUUGGGGUCUUUGGGUUUGGGUGAAUAAUUGCAGAGAAAACCCUAGAGCUUUUGACCUACUCUCUCUCAUUCAUACUGUCAUAUUCGAAGCAUGAUCUCUCAGAUCUGUUUGUUGAGUCUCUCAAAGGAAGGAGUGAUCUCUAUCUUCUCAUUUAAAGCAGCAGCAGUAGCAGGCAGUUUGUUUUAAAGCUAAUAAUGGUAAAGAUCGGGGAAAAAAAGUGAGUAAUUUAGAGAGGAAGGAGAGGUCUGACAGAAGAGAGUGAGCACACGCAGGCAGAUUGUAUGAAAGACCAUACCUUUGCCCGCCGUGUGCUCACUUCUCUUCUGUCAGCUUAACAAUUCACUCUUUACACUUGUUUUUCCUCUCCUUUCUACAUUUUCUGGAAACUUUCUACACCUUCUUCACCUACAGAUCAUUGAGUUGAAAAUAAAUUCCAUAUGGGAUUUUAUAUGUAGACUUCUUGUUGUUGACUCUUCAUUGACGAAGAGAUAAAAAGCACAGUAAGUGUGUGAUCAUGUUUACUAUUAUUUUUGGUUAUGAUUUUAUCAAUUAUAUAUUAUAUUCCAUUUUUGCGGUGUUAAUUGAUUAUAUUUCCGCUACUCUUUUUGGGAAUAUCAUUUUCUAUUAUUAAAAUAACAUAAUGAUGGUUUUGAUGGAGAGCUUUGGAAGAGAAAAAAAAGCGUGACUUUUGAUGGUCCUCUCUUUGAAAGAGGACGAAGCGGCUUCUUUGAAGGAAACGGUAAAGGUGAUAACUUUUUUGGUGUUUUCGGCUAUGAUUUUGGGUUCCUUUGUUGUCUAAGCACUGAAGCAUGCAAAUGCUUGUCUUUUGAUGUUAAUCUUGAUGUUAAGUAGUUUGCAGUUGUUAUACACAGUACUUUACUUGGCAAUGAGAGGCAACGAGCUUUAUCUGUUUUACCUGAGUUAAUCACCCAGGGGGCAAGGACAGAUGGAAAAUCCAUGUACUCAAUGUUGUCAAGAUUGUGCUACAUUACACCUUAGGGCCAAGCAACAAAUUUGCUUUGAACCCUUUCAAGAAGCGCACAUGUUGUUAUCAAGUGUAUGAUUAGUGUAUUUAAAUGGACUUUUCUGCAAGGCUAUAGGUAAAAAAGGGUCCUCUUGGUUGAAGUUCUACUUAAUUUCUUUUAUUUUUAUCUUUUCCAUAUGUUUUACUCAUUUGAGUAUUCAAUAUAGACAUGGGAUCAUAAGAAAAUUGUGCAUAUAGGCUAAUAGAAGAAACCAAAAUUUCGCAUGUUUUGUAGAUACUGGUUACUGGAUCUCUCUUUAGAGUUAUUAUCAUAAUUACUUAUAACCUUAAAUUUCAUACAAUGCACACACAACGUGUUGUGCCAUAUUUGACUCAGGCAGGUGCAUUUUUUGCUCCUUUUGCAGCUAGAGUGUGCCUUGUGCCCUUGAGAAAAAUGUAUCUAAUGAUCUAGAGGCCGAAGAAAGAAAUGGAAGACUCAGCAUAAAUAAGUUGUUAAACUGUGAAAACUCGAAGGGGAGUAUCAUGUGUAUGUUUGUACAAUCACCUUUGCUUAUUUUGAUACAACUCGCUUGUUCAAGUCACCUGUGGCAGUUUUCUUUCUCAAAGUAGUGUCUCAUGAAGAGGUAGAGCUUAUUGUCAUUAACUUCAUUUUUUAAGUGUCGUAAAAAGUCAAACUUAACUCUUAUGAUUCAGAAGUAGAAUUUAUAUGAUGGCCAAUGCUAUUUUGCAAUAUCAUGCAUAAGGUUCUUAUGUUUCUGGGGAAAUGUGGUGCUUUCAAGCUUUUCAAAACAAGACAAUGACUGUGGUACUAGACAAGUAUGAGUUUACUGGUAAAACAGCUUGAAUUAUAUACAGGCUUGGUAAAGAGGCUUUCUGAUCUCAUUAUGAUUGGUGAAAACCUUUUAUUUGCUAAAAACAUCUUGAACAUAUCUUAUAAUCAAAAUAUGCAGAGAAUUCAGGUUUGUUUUCACACUUCAACUUCCAUAGGAAUAGAAGCACAAGACUGCUCUCUUGAUGUUCAAUACAGAGUACUACAAGUUCUAUUGUUCUCUUUGAUUGCAAAAAAAGCGAGUAAAAGAGGCUAGAAAGCUGAAAAUAGUAUUUGGAAUCAUAUCUUGGUUAUGGUUUUGCUAAAGGGCAUUUGUAAUGGAACGGUUUUUGAGAAUUUUAUUGUUGCUGAAGUUUAUAGGACACAUUUUCAGUGAUAUUAAAGAUAGGGCAAUUGUGGACGUGGUGAUCCAUAAAUUCAGUACCAUGCCUAGAGCAUUUCACCAAGGGUUGGAAUGAGUUGGAUACAAGCAUACUCAAAAUUUUAAUUUGUUUUCAUAUGUGUGAAGGAUUUUUACUCUUAUACUUGGCCUUCGAAUAUGUAUCAAAGUCAGGUAUCCGCCAUCCAUGUAUGCUCGACAGAAAAUUACUUAUCUUUGUGGUUUUCAGGUUUAAAUUACUUGUCUACUGUGCAAGUAUUAUAGUGGACACUGUGAUGCCUGUUUCCAUGUAGUUACUUUGAAGCUGGAACAAAGGACAUUUCAUUCAUGGGAAUGGAAAGCUCAAUGAAGGAACCGACCAUUUCUAUCAGUUUGUACAUUCCGGAGAAAAGAUUUCGAUUUUUGGAUUAACAUUCAAGGGUAUUAACGUGGCUGUCAAAGCACAUGCUUGCUGUUUUACAUACUCGUCGCUAACCAGGAGAUCAAAGGUGCUGAAACCUUUUUAACAUCACUGCUACAGCCACAACAUGACUGAUUGGUCCAACCCUUCUCGGUGCUUCACGAGUUUAGAAAAUAAACAGUGUCGGGUGUAAUAAUAUGGAAAGAAUUUUUGUUUGAAUUUUAAAUUAAUAUUAUUAAAAAAGACAAUUAUAAAUUUUGAAA